UGGAUAUUGAAAUCAGAAGCUUUCUGAAAAUUAGGCAAUAGCAGUUCUGUUGUGAAGGUCUCUGUAGCUACCCAUGAAGGAGACAGCAGUGAACGGGGCAGCUCACCUGGCAUAAGCACUUACAACUGGGGACGCCCACCAACAGCUGCAAAGUCUGCCAUCUUCUCAGAGGAGCUUUCAGCAGAAUAAAUUAUGAAGCUGCAGUAAGCUCUGUAAAAAGUAUUCCAGCUGGUAGUUUUCAGUGCAGAAUGUAAACUACCAAUUCACAGGAUCAGAGAAUGGUUGAGGUUAGAAAGGAACUCUGGAGAUCAUCUGGUCCAAACCCCCAUCACCUGCUCCAGUUACAUCCCUCUGAACGGCAGUGACCAAGAGUCAUCCUUGCACAAGAAUGUUUGCAUGGAGCUCGCUCACCUUCACUCCCUAGGACUGGGCUGGGAUUUUUUGAGAAGUGAAUCCAUCCAGUUAAAAGACCUCAGAGAAACAUCUGCUUCAUGAUAACUUCCUUCAAGUCAAUGCCAGGUGUGCACAGGCACUAAAUCAUUAAAAAGCUAAAAAAAAAAUAAAUAACUUCAGCCAUGUU